rnacentral:lncRNA from 1 species
UGGAUGUGUAUAUGUUGGAUCGGGUACCACGCCGGUACGGAUGUGUAUAUAUUGGAUCGGGUACGAUGAUAACGCUCAAAUUACACUCUUGAGUGGGUGUAAGCGAUCAUUGUCAAUAUAAAACCCAACUAGAUUGGGGUUGAAUCCCGCAGGAAAUAUGGUGUGAACUUCAAUUUGUUUACGAAAUACUUUACUUGUAGUUUAAUAUUUCCGGAAAUGGGGGUUUAAGGUCCACAGAGAGUUAAUUGUCAGUUUCAAUAUUUUAGUGUUUGAAAUAAGUCUAAAUGGGAAACCAGAGUUAUGUUCACCAUGGGUUUUGUGAAUUGACAGAUACUAGGUAAUGCUUAGGAUUCUUGAAGUAAGUAGAAACAACAGAAUAGCCCUGACGACGAUACUAUCUGACUUAUCUCUCGACCUCACCAGACAAUUUAUUAUCUAAUUCUCUCGAACUUAGAUAACUUAUCUAUAUCCAAUAGGAUUUUAUCUCAGGUAGAUCAAUCCAGUUAUGACAUUGA